GGUCCCCCCCCCCUUCACUCCUUGCAGUGUACCCAGCCAUUGGCCGUAGGGAGCGGCCAUCUUGCUAUGCCAGAUCCCUGACAAAAGGGAUUGGACUCAAAGGGCGGUUGAACAUAGUGACUGAGGUGUGGGACUGCUGAGCACCGACCCCCGGAAGGGGGCGCAGAUGGACUAAGGGGCACUGCCGGAGGGCAGUGGCCUCGAAGAGGACGCCGCCAAGCAUGCAGCAACGCGGGUCCAAAGACAAUGACAGAGGAGAGAACAACGGACGGGACACCACCAGGAGGAGGAGCUCCACUGGAAAGAUCUAAUUCCCAGAGACACCAGCAGGAGGCGCCGCUGGGGCUCACCUCAGGCAGCUCCAGGAACAGCAAUAGCCUCUGCCCUGGCUCCAGUGAAGCCACCAACCACCUCUGAAGCCUCAGCAGAAGUUAGCAGCAGCUCCACACCAGCCAUCUUACUCCUCUCCCAAAAUGUAGACCACCACCUGCACUCCCUGUGAGAAGAAGUCUCUCACUCUUUCCCCAAGGCAUCAUGGGAGUUGUGGUCUCUAGGCUGGAUUGCAGCACACGGGAUCUUCCCAACUGGAACACUCCCAAUUAAGUUCAAAGGCCCCAUUACUAAAGGGUGCCUAUACUUAAAAUGUCUGUGAAUCCUGAAAGUUUCUUGAAUUUUGUGCAAGGAUUAUCAUUCAUCUGAAAAAUUAUAACAGUAAUGCACGA